AGCAGUUUAUGGGUGCGCGCCUUGCCGAGCGUUUCUUGGGCUGCUUUUUUCCCCAUCGGCUGUGGGUCCCACAAAACCUGAAUUUCUACAGCUCUAAACCCAUAAGGCUGGAACAUUUGAAAUGACUUCUGAAAAGACUAUGAAAAAUGUUUCCUAUGAACCAAUUCUCACUCCUUUCCUAGAUAAAAACUGAGGCAAUGCCAUAAAAACAAAUGAAGUCUUGUUACACUCUACAAUCUGGAUGAAUCUUAAAAACAUUGGGCUAUGUAAAAGGAACCAGACAGAAAAGGCCACAUAUAGCAUGAUUCCAUUCAUAUGAAAUGUCCAGAAUAGACAAAUCUGUAGAGACGGAGAGCAGAUUAGUGGUAGCUGAGGGAAGGGGGAAGAGGAAUUGGGACUGAUUGUUAAUAGGUAUGGGGCUUCUUUUUCUUGUGAUGGAAAUGUUCUGGAAUGAUAUAGUGGUGAUGGUUGCACAACAUAGUG